CUGAAGACGUUUCUAUGGAUGCUGUGAGAGUGGUGCUAGCUGCACGUCGAACGAAUAACGAGGUGCAAUGAAGUCAUUAUGAGCAAAAGAAAGAGAAAUCAAUCACUUUGAGCAAGGAGCUGAAUUUGGUCAUUUUACAUGCGAGCGAUGCCCGGAGCUCAGUCAUAGAUAAGGGACAACCCGCUGGAGUCUAGUGAGAAUUGCUAAAAGCACCCAUGGGUGUUAAUCUCCGCCCAUACUAUUAGACCUAGUUGGGUCGAGUUCUGUUGUUUCAGACAACAUUUCCUUCAUUUCUUCUUGAGAUGCAAAUGAAUCGGAGGGGAUAGUGGUGGAUUGGUGAUGAACCAGUGAAGGAUUAUAAAUCUAGGUCAGUUUGGUGGAUGUGUUCAGUUCACAAGAGUAGGAGUUCGAGUGCAGAAGACAUGAAAGAAAUUAGGCUUGAGAUUAAUUAGGUCUGUAUUUGAUACUGAAUGAAUGGUUUUGAGAUGAUGAAAUUGAGAAUAUUAGGCGGUGGUUGAAGGGAUUGUGAUGAAUUGGAGGAUGGGUUGGAGUUCAAUUGGUGAUUAAUUCAAGAAUGGAACUGGAAUUGAAGGUCAGACGAGAUUCAAGGGUUUUGGGUUGAUUUCAGGUUUUUUUUUGGAAUUACAGGAAUUGUAGUUGGAGAAGCUACAGAAUGGCAGGCUGGGUCUGACUUUAAAGAGUAUAUGAGAGUGCCAGGAGCCGGUGGUGCACAAGGAGGAAGAAAUGAUGCUGCAAUGACGAUUUAGAUGGAUCGAAGGGUGUGGAUGUUGUUGCUGCUUCAGUUGCAAGAUUGCAGGUGGUGACAGUAACUGAGUUACAUUAGAAGUUCUGUUGGUGGAGAUCAAAGAAGCCGAGAAGGAUUGGCUUACUGCUACAGAAUGAAGUGUAGGUCUCGACAUGGUGGGUUUUGAAGGCUACAGGCGGAAUGGCUUGAGGGCUGCAGAUGCAUUGCAGUAAUGUUUGGAUUCAUGAUGAUGCAGAACUGAAGAUGUUGAUGGUGCUGAUGACUGUGAUAGUUGAGUUGCAGUUCAAGUAUUAGAUGAAUGCUUAGGUUCAGGUACCAAAUGCAGUUGAGCUAGGCUUGACUUGCAGGUGAACUGAAAUCGGUUCGUUGGUUGGUCAUAAUGGCUCGAGGUAAAGAUGGAAGAACUGAUGAGACUGAAGCUGAUCUGAUGUUGUUGUUGGUGCGAAACAAGGGACUGAAAUGAGUUCGAUGAUGGCGGUGAUGGAAUAAAGCCUAGCAGAGAUAUCAAUGGAAGGCAGCAGUGUUGUGUGCUGAGAAGGGACUGACGGAGCUGUGGAGACGAAGAAUUCUGGGGAGAUUGUUGGAACUGAGUUGCAGCUGGUUGUGUUGAAUGGGAUCUCAAGAACUGCGUGUGGACUGAAUGCUUAGAAGAACUGUGGUGCUGUAAUUGUUGUUGAUCUGCUGCCGGAACAAGGAAGUGAAGAUGCAGAUGGUUAUAGAGUAUGUUUGUGGUCAUGGGAAGUGCAUUGAAGAUGCAAAUUAGAUGCAUGUCAGGACAGGUACUUGGCUGUGACAGUUGCAACUAUGGAGGUUUUUUUGGUGCAGUUGAACUGAACUGAAGAAGACAGCAGUGCUGCGGAGCUGGAACCACAAGUAGCUAAAUCAGUGGAGGAAUGGCUUGAAUGAAGGAAUAAUGAUAUGAGCAAAUAGAUGUAUGCUAGGACCACAAUUGUGGAGAACGACAAAACUGGUGGUGCUGCUAUUGGUUAUGGAGGCAGUGAAGAAGCUGAGAAGAUCAAGCAGGUGAAGGUUGUGGUG